rnacentral:rRNA from 1 species
GACAGAGGGGGCAAGCGUUGCUCGGAAUUACUGGGCGUAAAGGGCGCGUAGGCGGGAGUGGCAAGUCGGUCGUGAAAUCCUUCGGCUCAACCGAAGAACGUCGAUCGAUACUGCUGUUCUUGAGGGUUGCAGAGGAGACUGGAAUUCCCGGUGUAGCGGUGAAAUGUGUAGAGAUCGGGAGGAACACCGGUGGCGAAGGCGGGGUCUCUGGGCAUUAACUGACGCUGAGGAGCGAAAGCAUGGGGAGCGAACAGG